AGUGAAAAGGCAAUACUCAAGGAACAGUGAAGGAAUGCAAUGCUAUAUUUUCAUGUCCUCAUUACACAGAAAUUAAUACAGUAAAGGAGAAAAAUGAGUGUAUAUUUCAGUUGGAAUAUGAGUACCAUUGAAUUGAGCUACCAAGAUUAUUUCUUUUGUGCCACCCAUGUCUAUUCCCUGGCAAAUAUUUGCCAUGGGAAUUCUACUGCUUUUGUGUAAAGCAUCUUUUGCAGUCUUGAUCUCAUGCUAGAUCUCUAGGCACUCCUAUAAGAAAGGCAAUAAUAACUGGUGACAAGUAUGAAGAACUCCUGUUGCUAAUCAGUAAGGUAUUUCUGAAAAGCAAUGCAGGGAAAUUCAGAAUGACCACAGGAAUUAAUAAUAAUAAAAAAAAAAUCAUACAGGUUACAGAGCUCAAAUUAUUUCACUUAAGGUAAAAGAUAAAAGAUACAGAUUAAAAGAUAAAAGAUUGAAACUACAUCUUUCUUUUCAGAGAUGCUUAUUUUGUCACUCCUUUGAUACUUGCCCUUGCUUUAAACAGUGUCUUCAGGGGCUGCAUCAUGAUAACUGAGGUUGAACAGAGUCUUUUAUUUUGAGAUAUGAAACGAGUACCUCCCAUCUCCAGAAGGAGCCACCGCAAAUACUCUGAGCACUUCCAGUUCCUACUUCUGUGCUAUGCCUGGCUUCUGCUAGCCAAAAGGAGUUGGUGAGGUGAACCUUGACUAGGAUUUUCCAUGGUGGAUUGAUCAAGUGAUGGAAGCAAUUACUGUAUUUUCUCACCUUAAGAUAACCAGUGAAAGGAUCAGCAUCAGCAGAUAUCUCCACAGAAUGGAUUUGAUUUCAUCUGGACUAAUUCAUUCCUCAUUAGUAAGAAGACAACAGGAAAAUUAUUUUUGGAGGAAUACAAAGGCAAAGCCAAAAAAAAAAAAAAAA